rnacentral:rRNA from 1 species
UACGUAGGGAGCAAGCGUUAUCCGGAUUUAUUGGGUGUAAAGGGUGCGUAGACGGGAAUACAAGUUGGUGUGUGAAAUCCCUCGGCUUAACUGAGGAACUGCAACCAAAACUAUAUUCCUUGAGUGCUGGAGAGGAAAGUGGAAUUCCUAGUGUAGCGGUGAAAUGCGUAGAUAUUAGGAGGAACACCAGUGGCGAAGGCGACUUUCUGGACAGUAACUGACGUUGAGGCACGAAAGCGUGGGAGCAAAC